CCCCACGCCAGUGUGCCUUCGGCCAAAAGAUUCGUCAAUUUAACGGAUUCUCCAUCCUUUACGCACACAUUGUGGUGUUUAUGGAAAAUGCCUUUUCCAUCCCUUUUUAAUUAUCCGAUCAUUUUCGGAACCGAAGCCAGUCUAUGCUCUGUUGUGAUUGGCUGAACCUUUUUAUUAAAGUUUUAUUUUUGCCUUGUAAAAAAACAUGGCUGCAAUUAUAGUGAAAUGUAAAUAUGUUCCUUGAGUGAAACUGUGAAACCAGUGGAACUACAGGAAACUACAAAUCAAUUUAUCAAGGAUUUUAUUUCUAUUUAUUUAUUUUCUGUAUAUUAUUGUAUAGUAUUGUUAAUAAAGAGUUAUAGUUUGAUUUGUGCUCGGUUAAUUUCAGUGUUCGAUAGUAAAAGUGCAAAAGUGUUUUUGUUUUUCGUUCAAAAUGAAGCGCUGUUGCGUGCCUAAGUGUAAAACAGCUAUUAAUUUACGUGCUGUACCAUAUACUGAUGUUACUAGAUGGAAGGUAUGGUUGAUCAAUUGCCUGUUUUUGCGUAAAUAUUCCUGUUUACCUUGCUAUGUUAUUAAUCAUAGGUUAAGGUUAACUAAGUCUGCGAUACUUACUUUGAAUUUGGAAAUUAGUGAUUUAAACCAAAACGCUGUUCUAGCACCUACAAAUUCCAAGUUCCUAGAGGUAUCUUUCAUCGGGCCUAAUAAAUACGAAUAAACGAUAGUUGACCAUGUAACUACUACUUCACAAACAAACAAAUAGCCUGAAAUGCAGACUAACGCAUUAAAUGUCAAUAUUAACGAACAAUCAAUUAUAUUUCUACAAAUAGUGUCUGUCUAGGCUCACAAUCCCAGUCCGAAUAUUUACAGAGUUCAAUUUUACCUGAUCCCCUGCCUUCUGAAUAUUAGAACAUUAAAACAAAUGUUGCGCAAUGAGACUUACAAAUGCUAACAAUUAUAGUCAAAACUUUGUGCUAGUAAGGACAAUAUUUUAUUUCAAAUUAUCCUUUGUUAACUCAGUUUGGGAAAUUAUUAGUGGAUUCACAGUUAAGAUUAUCUGAUUCUAAAGUCAAAUCUCCUAGAUACACUAAUGAUGAGAAAAUCUUUGCACUUACAUUAUUUAAGUUGAGCCUUACAGAAAUAUUUAAUAUUCCUAUCCAAAUCAACUACAAACUCUCUAUUAACUAAAAUACCUGUGAGACCAGGUAUUAAUGAAUUUAUUUUCCAGCAUUUGGCUGAUUGUGCUAAGAACACACAGACUAUGGGUUUGCAGUGUAUAUUGUUGUUUGAUGAAAUGGCUGUCAACAAAAAUUUAUUUUUUAAUAUUCAUUCUGGGGUUAUUGAGGGUUUUGAAGACCUAGGAACAUAGGUGGUGAACGAGCAAAUAAUGUUGCAGAUAAAGUUUUAGUUUUUAUGUUACGUGGCUUAUUUCCAUCUUGGAAAAUACCUUUACCUUAUUAUUUUCUCUGUGAUGGAAUAAAGACUUUAAAUUUAAAAAGAAUUCUUAGAGAAAUAAUUGAGGCAAUAUUUAAAUCUGGAUUUAUUUUAAGAGCUACGAUCUGUGAUUAAGGUUCUGCAAAUGUAGCUGCAAUAAAUUCAUUAAUAACUGAUACACACAGAGAAUGCCUUCAUAAUAGUAAUGAAGACGCUGAAAAUAUAUUUUAUUAUAUGAUUAAUAACAACAAGGUAUAUCAUAUUCAUGAUGUUCCUCAUUUGUUAAAAUGCUUCCGUAAUAAUUUUCAGAAGAAGGACUUGAUCAUUGGAAAUCAGCAUGCUCAAUGGGCUUUCAUUGAACGGGCUUAUGCUACUGAUGGUGCAGGAGGACGUGCCAGAACCAUUGAUUUAAACGAUAAACAUAUAAACCCAAGUUCCUACGAUAAGAUGAAGAAUACCUGGAUCACUGGGCAUCUGCGUGCUCAAUAUGCUUCCAUCAAUGUUAAGAAUAUGCUACUGUUGGUGUAGGAGGAGGGUGUCCGAGAACAUAAAAAAUUACUUAAGAUGAAGGUCAAUUAUUAUGCUUCGGACGUCUUCAGUUACAGAGGUACACUGUACACUGCCUUUUACUUGGGAAAAUGAAGUCAUACGAAGAUCUUAGUUAUAGUGUUCCACAAUUAUGUUAACAUAACACUCUUACAUACUUAUAACAUAAGCCUCUCUGGUUCAGUGGUUACCCUAUGUGGUCACGAGGUCCGGGGUUAUAUAAGAUACUGAGCUUUUCAUCUAAGAAAUUUUGACUUAUAAUUCUCAGUCCUUAGUUGGGAAUUUAGUGGUGUUACACCCUGUGCCUCAGAGUGCAUGUUAACUUGUCCCGGACAAGGCCACGUCCCGUAAAUAAUGGAUAAAACGCAAAUGGUAGAUACGCCACCUAAUUCUACAAUUCUACGUUUUAUACUAAUUUACUACCCUCUAUAAGUGUACAAGUUUUUAAAAUAAUGGUUUUUUCGAUUCAAAAUUAGAUUUCAUCAUUUUUUACCGGACAAUGUGUUUUAAAUCGGGUCCUAAUGAAAGAAAAAUAAUUAUUACACAAAAAAUAGUCAAAUUAGUUAUAAAUAAUAAGGUGGUGUAUCUAUCAUAUUAGUCUGAUCUACAUGUGCUCUUUAGUAUAAAAAAAAAGUUCUCCAUCUCCUAUAAAAAUGGUUGAGGUGUCAUUCGAUUCGGAAUUGAAUAUACAUAGUUUUUGAAAAAUUUGAAGGCCCGCUCACUAAAAUUGCAAAAGUUAUAAAUAAUUCACUAAAAAUGAAAAAGGGGUUCAAGCAUUUUUAUAGGAGACAGAACUUUUUUUUACUAAAGAGCAGUGACCACAUUCCAUCCAGUUUAAAUGCGUUAUAUCCAUUAAUUACGCGACAUCUGUCAUAUAUUUUGUGAAGUAGUCAUAUAAUUUUGUAACUGUACAAUUUAGUAUUUUACUGCAUGGAAAUGUUUACAUUUUUAUUAAAGAAAUAAAUAAAAGA